rnacentral:lncRNA from 1 species
UUACUCCUAUUGGUCAAAGGCCAUGCCCAAUGGACUUCAAGAGGGCUGCCCAAGGCCAUAUAAGGAAUUAGGGUUUUUUUUUCGAAGUCUUUCAAGCUUUGGAGGCUAGAAUCAUCAAGUUUAGGUUUUUGGCUAUAGAUUAGAUGUAAAUUUUGUGUGAUUUGGAAUUUUUAUGAAGGAAUUAUUAGUACUCAAUAUUAAGGUAUCAAUUUCAUAUCUACUGUAACUCUUUGAGGCAUAACAUAUGUUUAUAAAGAGCAACAAAAGAUCAACGAUUAAGAUUGAAAAGGAUACUUUUUUGACUACACUUUUCAUAUAUUAUUUGAUGAAUUUGGAAUUUAGAUGAAGAAGAUAUAGAGGGUUGAAGUCAGUGCAUCAAAAUCAAAGGUAGUAUGUAAGUGAUUUUAUUCAUAGUAAUGGUUGGAGCCAUAUCUUGAU